rnacentral:lncRNA from 14 species
CAUAGGAGCUUUGCAGAGGUUUCAGAGAAUGCCCCCUGUCCUUCAUCGCAGCUCUUUACAGAGGUCCUUAAAGGCCACCUGAAGGAACCCAGGCAUUCUUUUUCCCUAAGAAGGUAGCAGAGCACAGAGAACUUCCUGUACCAGCAUGUUGACUGGAAAAACAACCAUGAACUUGGCUUGGACCCCAGAACUGUCUACCGCGAAGACCAGAACCCAAGGCUUAUGUGGCCCCGAAAGAACUCGAAAUUUGAACCAUGCCAGGCCACCCCUGACAUCUACUUCAUUAUGGAUAAGUCUCGUCGCAUGCUGCACGGCUGGCCACAUGUUCCCAAGUUUGUGCUGGAUAUGGUGACAAGGUUAUCAAACCAGAAUCUGCGGGUAUCCAUCAUCACCUACUCCUGUAAGGGCAACAUCUUCCUGCCCAUCACUGGGGACAGAGAGGAAAUCCUCAAGGGUAUCGAAAGAAUGAAGUAUACCAUAACCACAGGACACGAGCACAUUUACCAAGGGUUGUGGAAGGCAACUAAACAGAUGAUAAAGGCCAACAGAAGAGGCGCCGGGAGGCCCAGCAUGAUCAUCUUCUUGCUCAACGGCCCUCUAAGCAAUCAGGCCUAUGGGUAUUCACUGGAUGAGGCUAAUGAUGCUCGGAAAAUGGGAGCAACCAUUUACGGCGUGGGUACAGGCCAGUCUGAGAGAAAUCAGAUAAUAGGACUUACGGGUGGUCCAGACUAUGCAUUUACAAAUAAGAGACCUGAAGAUCUGAAUGACCUCAUUAAUCCAUUAGCAUCCAAGAUCUGUCCAUCCCUUAAAACUGCAGUUACCCGCAUUAUAUGUAUAAAAGAAUCAAACCCAGUGGUACUUGAAGGAUAUGGCUUUGACUUCGCCAUGCGUAAAGAAGAUGUUAUCUGCAGGUUCUACUUAGGAGGCGUAAAACAUCUCAAAGAUGCCAACCCCAUCAAUAUAACCAAGACGACUAUUACUUGUCCUGGACCAAUUGUAGAUUCUGAAGGAAGAGCGAUCAAUAUUCUACUCAGCCUGGACAACGGAAAAAACUUCCUGAAUAACGGUUUAUACGUUGCCAGUAGGAUAUGUGGCAAAAGUCCACUAACUACAGUUAAAACCAGCGGAAAAACUACAACCAUAACUACAAAAACUACAAGGAGGACUACCACCACAACUCCAUCCACUACAACUACUACACCCACCACCAUCACAGAGAAACCGAAGCCAAGCAUCGAUAAAUUCAUUUUUGUCCCUAUACUUCUGGCCCUGCUGCUGUCGAUGUUGCUGAUUGGUUGUUGCUGGCAGCUGUGCUGUGUUCCGCCUGUAGAGGAGCUGCCCCCACCUCAGCCCCGACCACAGGUAAGUCAUGCUUUGGAUGCUGACAUUGUCACGUGGCCAAGUACAAUGACCUUCAAGAGAGGAAUCAGAAGACCUGCACUCAGGAAGGAAGAAGGGCAGAGGAGCUCAAGGAUCAAGAAAGGGGUUCACAGUGACAUCACCCAAAGACAAGGUCCUACCCGAUUUUUAGGAUCUCCUGCCUUAGCUACACCAUCUGCACCCUGGGGAGCUGCGUCAGCAUAUGCAGUUGUUUCUAUGGGCUGUAGCUCUUAG